UACUGCAGAGCCGCUGCCGGAGGGUCGUUUUAAAGGGCCCGCGCGCCGCCGCCCCCUCGGCCCGCCAUGCUGCUAUCCGUGCCGCUGCUGCUCGGCCUCCUCGGCCUGGCCGUCGCCGAGCCUGCCGUCUACUUCAAGGAGCAGUUUCUGGACGGAGACGGGUGGACUUCCCGCUGGAUCGAAUCCAAACACAAGUCAGAUUUUGGCAAAUUCGUUCUCAGUUCCGGCAAGUUCUACGGUGACGAGGAGAAAGAUAAAGGUUUGCAGACAAGCCAGGAUGCACGCUUUUAUGCUCUGUCGGCCAGUUUCGAGCCUUUCAGCAACAAAGGCCAGGCGCUGGUGGUGCAGUUCACGGUGAAACAUGAGCAGAACAUCGACUGUGGGGGCGGCUAUGUGAAGCUGUUUCCUAAUAGUUUGGACCAGACAGACAUGCACGGAGACUCAGAAUACAACAUCAUGUUUGGUCCCGACAUCUGUGGCCCUGGCACCAAGAAGGUUCAUGUCAUCUUCAACUACAAGGGCAAGAACGUGCUGAUCAACAAGGACAUCCGUUGCAAGGUGUGCCUGGGGGUGGUGGCAAAUGGCUGUCAUGGGGAGAUUCAGAGGUCAGCCUCAUUGGGGGGUGGCCCCCGCUCACCUUCUUCCUUCUUCAGGAUGAUGAGUUUACACACCUGUACACACUGAUUGUGCGGCCAGACAACACCUAUGAGGUGAAGAUUGACAACAGCCAGGUGGAGUCCGGCUCCUUGGAAGACGAUUGGGACUUCCUGCCACCCAAGAA
rnacentral:sRNA from 1 species